UGUGGCACUGGUGGUGCCCCGUUUGCCGGAGGCAGCACCGAGUCGAGCGGCCGGUGCUGCAAGAGGCUUCACGGUGGGUGGCGGCCUCUUCGGCGGCGACAGUGUGGCGACCCGCCUCCAUCCCCCUCUCCCUUCCUUGCCCGUGGCGAUGGACGAGGACCAUGGCCCGACCUCCUUCUCCAUAACCCGCACCCGCGCUCCCCUAUUUUCGCCGCUGGACUCUCAUCGCCACGGCGACGGCGGCCCCUGCCUCCACUCCACGCUCCUCUUCUCUUCGUCGCGCACGGCGGCAGAAGGAGGGGUUCUGAUGGGAGCAAGGCUUGCGACCCCUCCGUCACAACUGCUCCGGGGCCCGGACAAAGCCGAGGCCGUCUCUGUGAACUCUCCAGCGAGCUGACCAUUGCCCUCCUCCAUCUAAGAUGCAAGGUAGCAGCAGCAACACAGGUUCCAUGGCCUCUGUCGCAUAGCUGCCACCCAAAGCCGUCCCCAGGGUAUGGUGGUGGCUGGCAUUCUGUUUGAUGCGGGCUGCAUCUACUCCCACAACAACGGUCAGCAACUAGGUGUUCACCAUCGGAAUUCUUCAGUAUCGCCCCCUCUCCGUCAUUAGCAAAAUUCAGGAUUGGCGAGAAGAAAAGUGAACAUAGAGGCUUCAGAUCUAUUAAUAGGAUACGAUGUUGCUUCCAACCCAUGGAUAUGAAUGUUCCAGUCGCUGGAGAGAUUGUUGGACAGAUGAAAUUGAUGAGAAAUCUUUGCCCCCCCUGCAAAUUAUGCAGCUUCAACACCAAGCUCAAACCUGUACAAUGGCACUGAAGUUGCGCCUCCAAAUUUCUUUGCAUCUUGAUGUAAUUAGCCCAGUAGUAUCCAGUUCUGUAGUAAUGAUUUGUGAUUUUUCCUGCUGCUGGUUACCGAGUGCCAAGUGGCAUUUAGUUUCUCCAAAGGAAUUUCAUUUGUACUCGUAUGGAUGAUUUUUAUUACGUGAAAUAUUUUGUGGAAUCA